AUGUCCUUUAGUACAUGCCUCACGCACUAUAUGUGGUUCCUCUGGCCCACACUACGCACAGUUGCGGUAAUGCACCGCACCGCACAAAAAAAAAAAAACAUUAAAGGAGGCCGCCAGCUAGGGGACACCGGUACAGAAAUAUUUUCACAACUGCUCCGUCAUCCUUUUGAAAAAGGUCAAAGCAGCAAUACCCAACAAAGCGUCUAGUAUACCGGAAGACCACACGAAGAAGAAGAAGAGCUCAUAAACAGGAGCCAUUUUAACAUCUUUCUCAGACGGCGCCAAACUACACAGAGGUGAGUAGAGAGCCACCCAAUUCUAACAAUUAGCGGGGGAAACAUAGGCCUACUAAAAUUGCAUUGUUCAUUUCGACCUUGCAGUUUGCGUUCCUAUGGGAAGUUAUUGUCUUUGACAAAUUACUUGCUAGCCAACGUUAGCUAGCUCUGCAAUUUAGACAAGCUAACGUUUACUAGUCGAUGGAGAAUAGAUUAACGUUAGCCUUUGAUUAACGUUACUCGACACCAGUUCGCAUGUAACUUGCCCUUCAACCGUACUCUAUUUUGAGUGACAAUUUUACUCGUAUUUUCACUAUUUGACGUUACAACUGGAUGUUAUUCCAAAGUAUAAAAGCAACGUUAACUAGCAAACGUCAGUUACUACAUUCCCUACAAAAUGGCCGUUCGCUACAGUACGGUAAUGCACGCUGCUAGCUAGCAAUCCCGUCGCCUACGUUAGCUGGCUACGAUUUUUACACUGCGUGGCAAGUAAUUUUACUUACUGCCGCUAACUUUUAAUACGCUAGUUUACGUUGCAGGGUGGGCAAUAUCUGGCCCAGGCCAUGUGUACCGAGUGGCUUGAAAUGGCUAAUUUGACUGGUUUGGCCUGCUAACGUUGGCUAGUUAACGUUAGAUGGUCUGGCUUUGUUUGAGACGGAGCUGUGGGUGUUUGUCUAGCGUCGCUAUCUAGUUAAUCGCCAUCUUUGAGAAUUUCAACAUUCCCGUGUAGCUAGCUAGUUAAAUUGGCCAGCUAAAUUAUACAUUAUGCAUAGCUAGGUCAACUUUGCUGCACGGGUUAAAACAUGGCUACUCCACGCAUUUGAAAACGAACCGAUGGGUGGAAGAAAAUGGCGUGCCAUCGCUUAAAAUGUAUGGCAUCUCGUGGUGCCAUCCGCAUGUGAAAGCCAGUUGGUGCUUUUCUAACCUUUUCUUACAUGACUUGGUCAUA
rnacentral:lncRNA from 13 species